ACGGAGGAUCCAAGCGUUAUCCGGAUUUAUUGGGUUUAAAGGGUGCGUAGGCGGCCUAUUAAGUCAGGGGUGAAAGACGGUAGCUUAACUAUCGCAGUGCCUUUGAUACUGAUGGGCUUGAAUGUACUUGAGGUAGGCGGAAUGUGACAAGUAGCGGUGAAAUGCAUAGAUAUGUCACAGAACACCAAUUGCGAAGGCAGCUUACUAAAGUAUGAUUGACGCUGAGGCACGAAAGCGUGGGGAUCAAACAGGAUUAGAUACCCUGGUAGUCCACGCCCUAAACGAUGAACACUCGAUGUUGGCGAUAUACGGUCAGCGUCUAAGCGAAAGCGUUAAGUGUUCCACCUGGGGAGUACGCCCGCAAGGGUG
rnacentral:rRNA from 1 species